rnacentral:rRNA from 1 species
AUGAACGCUGGCGGCGUGCUUAACACAUGCAAGUCGAACGAUGAUCCCUAGCUUGCUGGGGGGAUUAGUGGCGAACGGGUGAGUAACACGUGAGUAACCUGCCCUUGACUCUGGGAUAAGCCUGGGAAACUGGGUCUAAUACUGGAUAUGACUGACUAUCGCAUGGUGGUUGGUGGAAAGCUUUUGUGGUUUUGGAUGGACUCGCGGCCUAUCAGCUUGUUGGUGGGGUAAUGGCCUACCAAGGCGACGACGGGUAGCCGGCCUGGGAGGGUGGACGGCCACACUGGGACUGAGACACGGCCCAGACUCCUACGGGAGGCAGCAGUGGGGAAUAUUGCACAAUGGGCGCAAGCCUGAUGCAGCGACGCCGCGUGAGGGAUGAAGGCCUUCGGGUUGUAAACCUCUUUCAGUAGGGAAGAAGCGAAAGUGACGGUACCUGCAGAAGAAGCGCCGGCUAACUACGU